CUGGAGACAAAUCUGAUAAUUAGAAAAAGCAGUGAAUAACAAAAUAUUUUUGACUCAUGCCAUAUCAGGCAGCCUCUGAGAAUUCCCAGAGGCAAGAAAACAGGGUUUAAUUCCCUGCAGCUUAUUGCAGUUUUAUGUUAGAGCAACGCCACUGAUUUCAGAGACAUUACUCUGGUGCAAUACUGGAGCUGGCAGGAUUGUCAACUGGAUUUUCUCACUUUCCUACAUAUUAGUGACCAAUCAAUGCUGGAAAUGAAGGAGGAGGAGGAGGAGGAGGAUAAAGAGGAGGUGCUUUAGGCAGCAGACAAGAGAUAAGAGAUUCUUCUGCAGACUGGGAAAGAGACCACAGUGG
rnacentral:lncRNA from 1 species